AACGCUUCUUUCCUCCCGAGUGCUUGCACUCAAUUGGAAAGAGGAGUGGCGGACGGGUGAGUAACACGUGGGUAACCUACCCAUCAGAGGGGGAUAACACUUGGAAACAGGUGCUAAUACCGCAUAACAGUUUAUGCCGCAUGGCAUAAGAGUGAAAGGCGCUUUCGGGUGUCGCUGAUGGAUGGACCCGCGGUGCAUUAGCUAGUUGGUGAGGUAACGGCUCACCAAGGCCACGAUGCAUAGCCGACCUGAGAGGGUGAUCGGCCACACUGGGACUGAGACACGGCCCAGACUCCUACGGGAGGCAGCAGUAGGGAAUCUUCGGCAAUGGACGAAAGUCUGACCGAGCAACGCCGCGUGAGUGAAGAAGGUUUUCGGAUCGUAAAACUCUGUUGUUAGAGAAGAACAAGGACGUUAGUAACUGAACGUCCCCUGACGGUAUCUAACCAGAAAGCCACGGCUAACUACGUGCCAGCAGCCGCGGUAAUACGUAGGUGGCAAGCGUUGUCCGGAUUUAUUGGGCGUAAAGCGAGCGCAGGCGGUUUCUUAAGUCUGAUGUGAAAGCCCCCGGCUCAACCGGGGAGGGUCAUUGGAAACUGGGAGACUUGAGUGCAGAAGAGGAGAGUGGAAUUCCAUGUGUAGCGGUGAAAUGCGUAGAUAUAUGGAGGAACACCAGUGGCGAAGGCGGCUCUCUGGUCUGUAACUGACGCUGAGGCUCGAAAGCGUGGGGAG
rnacentral:rRNA from 1 species